rnacentral:rRNA from 1 species
UACAGAGGUGGCAAGCGUUGUUCGGAAUUACUGGGCGUAAAGGGCGCGUAGGCGGCCUCGUAAGUCCUGUGUGAAAUCCCUCGGCUUAACCGGGGAACUGCGUCUGAUACUGGAUGGCUUGAGUUUGGGAGAGGGAUGCGGAAUUCCAGGUGUAGCGGUGAAAUGCGUAGAUAUCUGGAGGAACACCGGUGGCGAAGGCGGCAUCCUGGACCAACACUGACGCUGAGGAGCGAAAGCCAGGGGAGCAAACGGGG